CCUACGGGAGGCAGCAGUGAGGAAUAUUGGUCAAUGGACGAGAGUCUGAACCAGCCAAGUAGCGUGAAGGAUGACUGCCCUAUGGGUUGUAAACUUCUUUUAUAAAGGAAUAAAACGAGGCACGUGUGCCUUUUUGCAUGUACUUUAUGAAUAAGGAUCGGCUAACUCCGUGCCAGCAGCCGCGGUAAUACGGAGGAUCCGAGCGUUAUCCGGAUUUAUUGGGUUUAAAGGGAGCGUAGAUGGGUUGUUAAGUCAGUUGUGAAAGUUUGCGGCUCAACCGUAAAAUUGCAUUUGAUACUGGCUGUCUUGAGUACGGUUGAGGUAGGCGGAAUGCGUGGUGUAGCGGUGAAAUGCUUAGAUAUCACGAAGAACCCCGAUUGCGAAGGCAGCUUACUAGACUGUGACUGACAUUGAUGCUCGAAAGUGUGGGUAUCAAACAGGAUUAGAUACCCCAGUAGUC
rnacentral:rRNA from 1 species